rnacentral:rRNA from 1 species
UCAUCUUCGGGGGUAGAGCACUGUUUCGGCUAGGGGGCCAUCCCGGCUUACCAACCCGAUGCAAACUACGAAUACCGAAGAAUGUUAUCACGGGAGACACACGGCGGGUGCUAACGUCCGUCGUGAAGAGGGAAACAACCCAGACCGCCAGCUAAGGUCCCAAAGUCAUGGUUAAGUGGGAAACGAUGUGGGAAGGCACAGACAGCCAGGAUGUUGGCUUAGAAGCAGCCAUCAUUUAAAGAAAGCGUAAUAGCUCACUGGUCGAGUCGGCCUGCGCGGAAGAUGUAACGGGGCUAAACCAUGCACCGAAGCUGCGGCAGCGACACUAUGUGUUGUUGGGUAGGGGAGCGUUCUGUAAGCCGU